GUCAAUCGAUACAAAGCUUCAAACAUCCACUGUGAAGAUUGACAGUGUUUAUUUUGGCCACCAUCUCUCUCUAACAAUCAUGAUUUUGAACUGGCAGGAGAGGUUAAUCCGAGUUCACAUUGAUCGAGUAAAGGGCAUCUGAAGUACUUCUACAAUCCUAUGUAUACACAUUAAAAGUUGGUUAGUAUCAGUUUGAGUGGUACU